rnacentral:rRNA from 1 species
GGACCAAGGAGUCUAGCAUGUGCGCGAGUCAUUGGGAUUUUUACUAAACCUAAAGGCGCAAUGAAAGUGAAGGUCCGCCUUGCGCGGACCGAGGGAGGAUGGACCGUUCCGAGGGACGGCCCCGCACUCCCGGGGCGUCUCGCUCUCAUCGCGAGAAGAGGCGCACCCAGAGCGUACACGCUGGGACCCGAAAGAUGGUGAACUAUGCCUGGUCAGGACGAAGUCAGGGGAAACCCUGAUGGAGGUCCGUAGCGAUUCUGACGUGCAAAUCGAUCGUCGGAACUGGGUAUAGGGGCGAAAGACUAAUCGAACCAUCUAGUAGCUGGUUCCCUCCGAAGUUUCCCUCAGGAUAGCUGGCGCUCGCUUCUCGCGAGUCUCAUUCGGUAAAGCGAAUGAUUAGAGGCAUUGGGGUCGAAACGGCCUCAACCUAUUCUCAAACUUUAAAUGGGUGAGAUCUCCGGCUUGCUUGAACUGUGAAGCCGCGAGAUAUCGGAUCAGAGUGCCAAGUGGGCCACUUUUGGUAAGCAGAACUGGCGCUGUGGGAUGAACCAAACGCUGAGUUAAAGCGCCUAAAUCGACGCUUAUGGGAUACCAUGAAAGGCGUUGGUAACUUAAGACAGCAGGACGGUGGCCAUGGAAGUCGGA